rnacentral:pre_miRNA from 1 species
GUAACUGGAAUAUCUGUAUGGGGUUGGAACGUUGACCCUAGCGGCAAACGUAGGGGCGCUGUUUCAACUUCAUACAAAUUUAAGUUA